rnacentral:sRNA from 1 species
AAAAAUAAAAAGUUUAUUUAAAAGAAAAUGUUAUCCAAAGUCAGUUUUAAUUAGUUUCUCUUGCAUUUUUGAUGCUAUUACUACCUCUUUUAGAUAGGUAAUCCAAAAUGGACUAUUUUAACAACAGUGUCUUUAAAAUUUAAGUUACUUGCUUGGCUGUGUGGUUUGUAUGAUUACAGUUCAACUUAGAAAAUGUUCUCCAAUAAUGAGUUGCUCUUAAUUUAAUCGAAUUGCUAAGGCCUAAUAUUACUAUAAACCAAUUUGGUAGUGAGUUUGCAUGUUUACGUUAUACAGGUUAUUAUCUAGUAAGUGAACACUUUAAUUCAUGUGGAAAUGAUUACUGGACUUUGUUUACAGAAAGCCACAAAAAAAACUGAUAAACCCAGACAAGAUGAUAAAGAUGAUCUAGAUGUAACAGAGCUCACUAAUGAAGAUCUUUUGGAUCAGCUUGUGAAAUACGGAGUGAAUCCUGGUCCUAUUGUGGGAACAACCAGGAAGCUAUAUGAGAAAAAGCUUUUGAAACUGAGGGAGCAAGGAACAGAAUCAAGAUCUUCUACUCCUCUGCCAACAAUUUCUUCUUCAGCAGAAAAUACAAGGCAGAAUGGAAGUAAUGAUUCUGACAGAUACAGUGACAAUGAAGAAGACUCUAAAAUAGAGCUCAAGCUUGAGAAGAGAGAACCACUAAAGGGCAGAGCAAAGACUCCAGUAACACUCAAGCAAAGAAGAGUUGAGCACAAUCAGGU